rnacentral:rRNA from 1 species
UACGUAGGGUGCGAGCGUUAAUCGGAAUUACUGGGCGUAAAGGGUGCGCAGGCGGUUCUGCAAGUCAGGCGUGAAAGCCCCGGGCUUAACCCGGAAACUGCCAUUGAUACUAUUUGUCUUGAAUACUGUGGAGGUCAGCGGAAUAUGUCAUGUAGCGGUGAAAUGCUUAGAUAUGACAUAGAACACCAAUUGCGAAGGCAGCUGGCUACACAAAUAUUGACACUGAGGCACGAAAGCGUGGGGAUCAAACAGG